rnacentral:lncRNA from 1 species
CUUCUCCCGGGCGGGCGCGCGCUGCGGGGCGGCGGGCGGAGCGUGAGCUGCCAGCCCGGAGCCGGGAGCGGGGAGCCGGGAGCCGGGAGGCUCGGUCGGCGCCCUGCACGCAACCAUCCUCCGGGUUCCCAGCCCCGGGUGCUGAGCUCGCCGCUAUAAAUAGCAGGUUACAGCUUCUGCUUGGGCGCACUCGCUCUCACUGGAGAAGGCUGGAAAGUCAACCUGAAAAGUGUCUGCCGCUGCUAUCGCCCCCUACUCAGCCUCUGCAAGAGUGGGUAGACAGGAUCCACUACAAAAGGAAACGUCAUCUUGUUUGAGUCCACAGCAAGUGAUUUAUACAACUGAAGAUAAACUUCCUAAUCAUCUCUGGAAGAAACCGGUCUCUUUCUGCAGUAGUUUUUAAUUGAACUUUGAAAGGAGGGCAUCAUAAUUUUUGAUAUACACUUCCUAACCAUGUUCCUGAUUUGUACUGAAUAAAAUAAAAUUAGCAGUGAAUGUUGCUGAUACACAGAACCAUGUGUUUGGGAUUCAUCCAGCAUUUGUUAAGCCUCAUGCAUGUCGCAUAAAUGUCAAGGACAGGAGAUCCCUGUCCAAAGACACAGUAUGACUGGCGGGGAGGCCAGACCGAGUGUUCUCUCUAGAGUUUAUGUCUAACACGAAGGUACCUGGAAGGCUCUUAAACUGAGAUAUGGUACCGCCGUGGAGUUAUACUUGCAUG